UACAAGCAGCUUUGGGAGAACAAGCUGAAAUAACAAAGUAUAGUCAGCAAGAGUAUGAGAGGCUUCAAAACGUAUUGCUUCUUAUUCUGACUUUUGUCUAAAACUCAACUGAUUAACUUACUGAUAGUUAUGGAUCCUGUAUAACUUAUCAUAAUUUCCUUGAUUAGUAAGCAUAACUUUGUUUUCUAGAUGCCAUGUGGUUUUUUUAUCUUUAAAUGCAUUUGUAUUAUUUUCUAAGCUUUUUUUUUGUUUUGAAUUAUUAAAUUGUUUCCAUCCAUAAUUUAUAUCAAAUUAUACAUAUUGUAAGAUUUAUCUAAUCUUUGUCCAUGUUCUUUCAAUGCAAAGUUUUGAAUAUAAUGAUUGACCAUUCGUUGAAGAAUGGGGGUCAGAUUUGAUGAGCUUAGUCAGAUGACAAGGUAUCAAGGAUUCGAAAUAUAUGGAUCAGAGGAUUGGACGUGUAAAAAGAGAAAUGAAAACCUAAAUAUCUGAUAAAUCAGGAAAAAAUAGAUAAGUCUAAAAAUAGAAAAAUACUUUAGAAAUAGAAAUUCAUAAAAUUAGGAAAAGUACUUAAAAUUUAUCAUUACAAAUUCAGAAGAGAUAAUUACUGUUUUUUUUGCAAUGGAAGGACAAUUUUUUAAUGUAAUUUAUAUGACAAUUUUUUUCUCCUAAAAACCUUUUGUGCAUAUCUAGUUUACGAGAGAGCCACAUAACACGAGAUAGUGUUUUGGAAGGAUUUUUGUGCAUACACCUUCUUGGAGGGGUUGUUUUCUCAUGAGUACUGUUGGAACCCAGCUACUUGAUCCUUCAAUUUACAGGGUAUGAAAAAAUUCCUGUUAUCUCCUCUCCCAUUGCCUACAGAUGAAGAGCACAACUUACCUCUACAUCGAUGUUGAGGUGUCGUUGGUGGUGGAGAUGUGGAGUGCUUCAGUGACAUUAGAUAUUUUUGUUAUCUCCACUGUUCUUCCAUUUUUAUCUCUCCUCUUUUGCUUCUCUUUCUUUGAGUUUGGGGGAUAAGAAGGAUGGACAUUUGUCUUGAUUAGGGUGUUUAUGGAUAAGGAUAUUCCAGUUGGAGGGGGAAAAGAAGAUAAGGAAGGUUGGAUCUUAAUAUUUUUGUUCCAUAAGUUGUUGGUAGUUGAUGAUCCAAAUUUAUAUUGCAAUUAAUUGAAUUUUAAAACCCUGUUUUUAAGGCUAUUUGUUAAGAGGAAAAAGCAAGAAUCUUGCAUGCCUAUUUUUUAGUUAGGAUUUCUAAGGUUAUUCAUUAGUUAGAUUGUGACUUCUCAGUUUUAACUUUUUAAAUGCAUAUUGCACAUAGGGCAUGUGUGUUUGGGGUUAGGUAUGUGCAUUUUCUUUUGUAUCAAUAUUAUUAGUCAACAGUAAUUAAAGCUCUUUUAAUAUCUCUAAUAAUUCUUAAGGUCUUAUUCUACCUUUCAUCAUAACUCUAGUCCUAAUUGCCUCAUUUUAUCUAACUUGUGGAUCUAUGCACCUGCUUCAGUCAUGUUCGUGCUAUGCUAAAUGGUAUUAGUUGAUUUAUUCUUCAUUGAAAUUUGUGCCUUUGUGGUUCUUUAAAUAUGUAAAAUUUCUAUCUUAUUUUAUUUUCAUAUUAACUUUUCAUAAAUCUGUCUCAAAUCAUGAUACAUUGAGUGCACCAAUCCAUAAGUGAUAGGAAUCUGCCAUGUCAUAUACCACCAACACAGUCAAACAUCAACAUGUAUUUAAGAAAACACAAUCUAACACAUGAGAUUGUUGCUAAUGUGGGGAUUGAGAAAGAUCAAUGCAGGUGACCUUACCUUUGCAAGCAAAAAGUUUAGUUUUGUGACUUGAAUCCUUGACAUAGAUGACAUACCGAGAACACGAGAUUACUGCCAAUGCAGGGGUGGGUAUGGGGAGGGUCAAUGUAUGCAACCUGACCUCUAUAUUUAAAUAUAAAAGGUUAUUUUGAAGAUUUAAACCCUUUAACAUAUAGCUAAUCAAUAAUGCUCUCUUUAGUUAACAACUGGUAUAGGUACCAUACUGGUUGAUUCUUAAUAAGUUCAAUUAAGUUUUGGUUUAGGUACUGGUAUCAAUAUUUGAAUUCUUGAUCUUGUUUUUUGGCAAAAGAGAUUUCUUGAUCUUAACAUCCCUGUUUCAGAUACUAAAAUUUUGUACUUGUUAUUUCAAUACUGCUUGGUGUUUUGAUCGCUCUGCCUCUUUCCUAGACUUGCCAAGCACUGGAAUAUCCAUCUUUACACCAAUAUCUUUUAUUUUUAUGAUUUUUGUUGUUUUGGUUAGAUCCAUCACUGAAUAUAUUUUCUGUAUGUUUCUAUGUUUAGCUGCUAAAUGGCAUUCUAAUAAUUCCACUUCAUGCAUGCUAUACUAUGCAUAGGCUUAUUGCAUAGUUGUAUAUACCACACCAGAAAAAGGCUCGCAACAAUACCAUUUCGCAGAUUGGCAAUUCUUGAAUUUUACUUUCUGGUACUUAAUGAUUUUUGUGAAAAUAUCCUGUCUAUAAAUGAACUCUCAUUUAUAGGAGUCUCAUGCAUUAGGUGUAUUUAACAAGGUCUGCCAUACCGAAUCAUACCGCCUGGUACGGGCAGUAUGUACUGGUCCGAUAGGCUACCGGUAUGAGGACCGUCCACUACCGGACGGACCGUGCUACAGUGCUACAGUAUAUACUGUAGCAGUGCUAUAGUGCUACAGUGUACAAUGUAGCAAUGCUAUAGUGUUGGUGUACAGUUCGGUACACCCUAGUGUACCGCUCGGUAUGCUGGUACCGUACCAUACCGAGCCAAUCUCGAAACACCGGUACGGUACGAUAUUGCAUAUCUUGGUAUUUAAUUACUUUCAGUACACAUACAUUGCUACUAAUUGGUUAUGUUUGAGUGUCGUUGUUGCCAGAUAGUAAGAGAAUGCAAAAGAGAUAAAUCAUGCAUAAGUUUGCCCCAUUGGUUGGGUUGGUCAACAUUGGUUUGUAUUUGUUGCACUAGAAAGUUAUAUGCUUGUGUAGUGCCAUGCCAUAGAUGCCACUAUAUGACUUAGAUCAGUUUGUAGCCUAUACCGACUGGUAUUGCAUGGUAGAAAGUCAACACAGGUUUGUCAUUCCUUCUGGUCUUUGCACCAAUUAGCGUGCAUAUGAAUCCUAGUCUUUGUCUUUCGAACACUUCUAAUGAAUAAAUUAUAAUUAGAUGCAUUUUUGUCAAGUCCUAGUUAUGGUUCAAACUUCAAACAUCAAUUGAUCCUUGUAGGGUGUGAUAAUUGUUUAUAGCAAGAUUUGCCUUAUCGAUCUGAACUAAUGUAUUGGCCGAUCGAUGGUAUGGUAUGUACCGCUCCGUACCAACGUACUGUGUCAAUACGACAGAGCAUACCAAUAUCACAGAAAAAUGGCCAAAAAUAGCUCAAAAAAUUCUUGAAAAAUAGAGGAAAAGUUAUAUUAGGAUUUUUAAGUUGGAAAUAAAUAUAAUUUAAUAUAAUUUUAGCAAAAAUAAUCUAAAUUAGGAAAGAAUAGUGACCCAUAUCUUUUUCGAAGGGCUUUAAGGAAUAGCUUUGUGGUAUGUUCCGGAUUGUCCUUCCAUUGGUAUUGAAUUAUCUACAAAGAAAUGAUUUGAAUUGUAAGAUUAUUUGUUAAACAACUUAAACUUUAAGAUUCAAAUGAAUCAAGUAAUCGAUCGAUGGUAUACUUGGUUCUACCACCAAAAAGAACAACGGAACUCCACGGGUGAUGGAUCGAGGUCCUCGAUCUUAUGUAUCUGUAUAUCAAUUAUCAAUUUGAUAUGUUUGUUUGACCAAGUCCUGAAAAUAAUCUCAUGACAUAGUAUACUGAUACACCAUAUGUCAUUGGUGCAUCAAUGUAGUGAUGGUCGUAGUCUAAUUGUCGUGAACCACACAUGUCUGAGGCGGCUCUGAAGGUAAGUACGAUUGUGGCAUGUAUUGAUGCGGAGCAUAGAGAAUAUCGAAACUUCUACUUUUGCCACUGAUUUGUUGCAUCAUAAAAUUGAUCAUCGUACUAUUGCUAAAAAGGGAAUGAUCAACUAUCAUCGUAUUGUUGCUCGGAGAAGAAUGACCAACUAUCAUAUCGAGCUCCAUGAUCUGAAUCUUGGGUGGCAUACGUAAAGUAUUGCUUCUCAGUCCAUGCACUACCCUCAAACUAUGUAGAUGGGACAACCGACUCCCCGGUGUCAUCGCUAUCAUCAAUUGAGGCACUAUUGCCCACGUCAUUGCCAUGUCUCUAGGUUGAGUGGGUUGUUGAAUGCGGUUGAAAAGUUAUUUACAUACCUUUGAUUAGAGUUCUUCUAACUUAUGUGUUAAAACUCUCAAUUAGCCUCCUAAGCUUGAUCCAAUCCACAAAUCGUAACUUUAUGAAGUUUUAAGAGAGUGUAAAUGUGAGAAUGAGAAAGAAGUAAGAAAGAGAUUGAGAGAAUAUAAGAGUACGAGAGAGUGAAAAGAGGUGAAAGAGGUGAAAGAGUGGGGGAGGGUUUAAAAACCCUUUCAAAUGGAUCUAACCAUUGGAAAGGGUCAGAUCUGAGUCAUUUGUCAGUAAUGAUCGAAAUUCGAUCGUUCUCGAUUAGCACAGGUUAGUAACGUUUGGAUUUUAACCAUUAUAGAACGGUACAGUCUUGUAUGCGCUACAGAGCCUUUUAGUAUAUCCCACCUGGUACAGGGUGGUCGACAUACUGGUCCCCUAUCGGACCGGUAUGUACCACUCAUAUUAGUCGAUAUACCGCGGUACGACAGACCCUGGUUUAUAGUCUUAUAAACUUUAAUGUUAAUUCAGUAAUCUGCAAGAACUUAUGGUCUUUCAACUGUUUCUUUUCACCAAUCGGCUUGCUUACGAUUACAUUUUCUUUUUCCUUUAAACUCAUCCAAAAUGAACAAACAGACUAUGAGUAAGAUUAUCACCAAGUAGCAGUGUAGUUAUCUUAUGAACAUUUCUGGCUUUGAAACUUUUUUAGGAAUCCCUGUUGUGCUGACCUAUAAACUGUGAAUAAUGCCUUUCUGUUUGGGCAAACAAAUUAGUGAUGUGAAGUGCAUUUGCAGGUUGUCCUCCCAGUAGGUUAGUAUGAAAACAGAUGGGUGGUGAUACACCUUCAAGGCAUUCCUGAUGCCUUUUCUUUUUUACAAUAUUGUUCAUUUUCUACUUGGCGUUCCCAUUAUUUCUUGUAUGUAUUGUACCCGUGCAACUGUUGAUGUUUUGGUUUUUAUCUUUGUUCAACUGCUGAUGUUUUCGAGACUAUUUCUUUUUUAUAAAAUUGAACCACUCAUCUUAACUAAGUGCUCAUAUACUGUAGAUGCACCUGUCAAGUCACUCGAGUUAUCACUUGUAAACUAUUGAGUAUAUAUCCUUUCUCUGUGUCACGUUUAAAGCUUGAAUCACAUAGUGCUAGACUCAUACCAUAAGCCCUGUAUUGCAUGUGGACUGUUCAAAAUUGGCUGGUCUGCAUGUCAGUUUAUGUUUGGACUGAUAAAUAUCGGCAAAUACAUAUUCAACGAUCUUCGAACACUGGUUGCUUGCAUGUUUGUUUCCAUUGUAAUAUUCCUUACAUCUAAAAGUUAUUUUCCUUUCGAUCUCAUUCCACUUGAAAGAAUUGUGAGGUCUUAAACAUUUUUGACUUGUGAAAAUUUCAUUUUAUCAGGAAAAAGUUCUCUGUAGUAUUUGCUUUGAUGGAGAGAUAUGCAUGGUCCUCCUUCCUUGCCGGCACCGCACUCUCUGCAAGUAUGUUCCAUGAGCCAUUCUCUGUGACACAAAAUAUCUGUUUGGCUCUUGUUCUUUUGGAUAUCGACUUGAAUUUUGUUUGUAGGCCUUGCUCUGAGAGGUGCAAGAAGUGUCCUAUUUGCCGUGUCUCCAUCGAGGAGCGUAUGCCAGUAUAUUAUGUGUAGACCCUGACCAAGAUCUUAACAAGAAUGUGCAACUGUAUAGCUUUAUCAUCUGUUAGAAAGGUUUUGGUGUGUGUUCUGUUCUCACCCUCGUAUUGUACAUAACACGGACAUGAUCUGAUUACAACCUGUGUAAAGCUGUUUGUCCUGCAUCAAUUCUCUAUCCGCAGAAAAACAGGAAAAAAAGAAAACAGAAUCUCUUUUAUUUCUUGAUUGUCGGGUAUAUUUGUGAGAAAUUUAGAUUUACGCUUCCGUAUCUGUGAUGAUUGGUCCAACUCUGGUGCAAAUAAUAUUAGAGAUGUAAUCUGGAGAAUGGUAUGGUGGUUGGUUGCCCAAACAGAUGGUUCAGGCUGUGCCGGGCUGUAUUGCGCCGUGCCCCCAUUGUUAUUUAGGGUUUAGCCCAACGGGAUUCACUUGUUCAUGUGGUGAGAUUGUUUAGAACAUGCUCACCUUCUGAUAUAUGGUGGGAUUCACUUGUUCAUAUGGUGAGAUUGUUUCGGCCACUCAAAGUCUCUGAUAUGCGGACUAUGUCAGUCAAACUUACUAAGUAAGCAAGGGAAUGUUUCUUCACUUUACAAAGAAAACUACUAGUCUUUCAGAUGUGGCUUAGAUACGAAAAAUAUAAGAGCGACUGCAUCGAGCAUGCUCUGGCGAUAGUCUUGUUACUCUUGUAGGUGAUGUUUGUGAAAGAUACACCUUCAUUUUGUUGAAGAUUUGGUUCUCAAAAAAUCAAUGUCCAGUUUGUUGUAGAUAAGAGUAUCACCUUCAUUUUGUUGAAGAUUUGGUUCUCAAAAAUCAAUGUCCAGUUUGUUGUAGAUCGGGGAUCAUUUCUUUCAUAUCCCAUACAAAAAACAAUGAAAGUAAGCAAUGCAAACGCAACAGACAUUACACACCCACACCACCACCGCCACCACCACCGCCACCACCACCGGCGGACAAAAUGAUCGCUCCGACAAUCUUACGAGAGAAGCCACCACCGGAGGUGCUAACCAAGAUAGGCAUAGGCAUCAUCAUGAGCUACAGCCUGCCGCCCAACUAAGUCGGCUACCCCAGCGGCAUCUGAUAUGUACAUUCAUUGGAGACUGCACAUUAAUCUGAUACUGCUAUAGCUCUUCGAACACCAUUAGAUCCUGGAAGCAAAAGGAAGCAAUCAGUAGCAGAAAGCCAUGUAGAAUCCUGUGAACUUAAAAUGACAUCCAGUUCCAGUCAUGCACAUGACCAUGUGGACGGACACAAGGAGUUUAGCACUACCAACAAACAUAGAGAUCAGAUUUAGAGACAUUAAGGGUGUCUAUCACAAUCCAAUUUCUAAAGGAUAAUGUCUUCUGUUUAUAACCUUGUCCAACAUUGAGAAGAUUCCAAAUGGCUAUAAUUGCUCUUGAUGAUACAACAUAUAGCAAUAUCAAACAGAAAAGGUAUCGACCAUGUAAAGAGAUUAUGAAAAUGUAACACAAACCAAAAUUUCGGACAUUGAUAUCAAAAUUAUGCAUGACAUGUCAUAAAUAAAAUCCAUACAAAAUAGAAAGAUGUUUUCUGUUCUGUUAUAUAGAACUCAACGCAUGUGCGGUCCUUUUAGCAAAACUAUAUAGAACUCAACACAUGCGCCAUAAACGGUCCUUGUAGGGAAAUUAGAUCAUAUGAUAUUUUUUACUUCAAAGAAAAGAAGCAAAAAAUAUAUGAUUCAUUUCCCAGAACCACCUCUCUUUCCAUAGCCUCUACCACCGCUUCUGCCACCUCCCCUUGGAUGGCUGCCUCUUUUGUGGUAAAAAACCCUACCAUUAUCUGAUGUUGACUGGGCUUUCAAGUGGUCAGGCAUCGGGAGUAUCAUAUCCACACAUUUACAGAAGCUAAAAUCAUCACUAGUUCCAUCGGCCCGAACAAGGAAGAAACAUCGACUUUUAAAUGUUGGGUGGUUCCGCACCUGGAAUGCCUCAAUUCCUGCUCCAAUCUUCUUAGCAGGGUCAGGAUGCCCCUUCUUCAACAAGUCCAGCAGUACCAUGUGCUCAUACUGCAAAAGUAUAAGCAGUGUUUUAUAUUGAGAACAUCAAAUUUGUUACAAAUUUCUUUGGUGAUAGUUACAAAUUAACACUUUAUUUAAGAGUAUGAUCCAAUACUAAAAAUAAACAUGAUAAACAACGGAAAAUAACAAUCUUAUGCAACAUAUUAACUAGAAAUCAGAUCCAUACAAGAAGGAUUCAAAAUCAUUUUAAGAAUAACAUAUAGUCUUAAUCAAAUAAUAUUUACUCGAAAAAGCAAAUCAAUCAAUAAGCAAUAGAUAUAUAGGAAGAGAAAAACACUAACAAUGAGACAAUCCACAACGAUAUGAAAAAGGUUUGGAGGAUGGUAUAAACACUAAUGGCAAGUCAGCUGGUAAGGCCAAGAAACCAAAUUCUUCAAAACUAAUAAAAGAUCCAACUUAUCCAAGAUGAGAAACUGAUGUUACUGCAAGGUAAACAGUGCAUACGAUAGCUAAAUAUAAUAACAUAUUUUAUUCAUGACAUGCAUGAUUCCAAUAUUCAUUCUCACAUAUUUCUGUUUUUUCAUAGUCGAUUCACAAUAGAGUCACUACUAGUUUCCAUUUCAUAGAUACUGGCAUGAUUGCACAAAAGCACUGUAACCAAAUAAAUUUACGAUUUAUCUUGCAAUGUUGUGAACUUUUGUUUACUGGCAUUCAUAAUUUUCAUCAUUUCUACAAACAGAGUCAAAAAAAAUUUUGUUCCGAUUCACAGUCAAUAAAUUGAUCCGGAUCAAACAAUCUAUACUUUACUUGAGUAACCACUUUUGACCCCUGAUGGUUGGAGGACAACAACCAACAGUCACUUAGUCAAGAUCAAUUUCAUUUCAUUCUCUGCAAGUUUUUAGUACCUCUUUUAUGAACUUUGCUUCCACUAGUUAUUAGUCUUGCUCCUGUCGCAUUGUUCAAUAUUGGUUCCCAGGCCAAAAAAUGACGCAUUUUAGUUCGAUUUAUUCUCUGUAAUGUUUUUGUUGCAUCUUGUAAAUUGCUUGUAGAGUUGUAGUGCCUGCCAAGAUCGGCCAAAUUGCCACAAAAAUCUUAGUAUCUGCUGCCAGAUAGGUUUUCUUCCAUCCUAUGUACUGUCAGAACUUUACCUUUGCAUCAUGUUGUCCCCUCCAGUCAACCUUAUAGGCUAAGUUCACAAGGCUAGGAUCAGGAUGGGUCAUAGGAUUUGAUGUCAUGAUCCUGGCAAAAUGGACCAGACUGGGACUGGAAUUUUCAACAAUGACCAAUAAAUCAGCCAAGAUCAUACGAAACUCAAUCAACAUCAAUAAAACUAUUUGGAAAUUUUCUGGGAUCAGCAACAAGCUGGAUUAAAGCUAGGAUUGACUUGUAUUAAACUAGAAUCCAACCGAACAAUCAAUUUUGCAUCAGAAAUCAAUUGGCUCAGCUGCAACAAAUUCAAGAUUGUCUGAUUCUGAUAAUGACAACUGAGUCUGGGCAAUCCCUUCAAAUAUCAAGGGUUUAAAAGUCUGACUUGGUUGGUCCCUCCAGCGCUUAUAAUGUCAAAGUGAUGAUGACAACCAAGUCUUAACAAUCCCUUAAAUAUCAAGGGUUUGAAAGUCUAACUUAGUUGGUCGUUCCAGAAAUUAUAAUGUGAAAGUAAACAAAAUGUUAAAAAUACCAACCCUUCCUUAGUUGUUACUGUAUUUGAUAACUCAAGACAUGACACACCACAUCCAAUAUUCUCAAGAAUUUCAAAUAUUUAUAUGGAGUGACCAGAUGAUCCUUUUAGCCUGACCAGAAUUCUCUCUUGAACAUAAAAGCACAUGCAUAGAGCAAAAUCAUUUCAUAAUCCAUUCCAACAUGCUAAUAGAGGUCAUUUCCACUUCUUAGCUUGUAAAACUAUAAAAAGGAAUUGGGUUCUCCAAGGUCAACAUGAUCAGAUGAACAAUAUCAUGUUUUCAGUUGUUACAUUCACAAACAUUUAAUAGAGCCUCAAGGCACUGCCUUGAGAAGACCCAAAUGUGAUUACGAAUAAACAAGAAAAAACUUGAAAACCAAAUGAACAUACAUGUCUUCCUACAUAGGACUAUAUAAAAAUUCUACUUUUGUCUUCAGAAAUUUAUUAUUCCUUGGUUUAAUGGUGAACAAUCAAGAAGCUACAUAAGGAUGCAGCUUCUGCUUCCUUUUCAGAACAAAACAUAUAAAGGAAUUCAUAUAAAAUAUUACUUCCUUUUCUAAGGGUAAUAUACAACCAUUGAGAUCUAUAUGGAUCUUUUGUCAUCAUUGAGAUCUAUAAAAAGGCAUAUGUUUAGUUCAGUUCAGAGUACUUAAAUCUUUAUUUAUAGUUUCUAUUAAAAUCUUUUUAGGUCUUCCUCUACCUCUUCUUGUACUGCUAACAUUAAUCAUUUCAUCUCUUCUGACUACUACAUCCGAAGGUCUCCGAAGCAUAUGUUCAUACCAUCUUAAAAUAUUUUCUAUCACAUUAUCUUCUAUCGAAGAUAUCUAGUUAUUCAUAAAUAAUAAAAGUAUUUCUUUUCCUAUCUUUCCUAGUAGCUCCACACAUCUAUACAAAUAUUCUCAUCUCCGCAACACAAAAAAUUUGCAAAUGUUGUUUCUUGACUACCCAACACUCAGAUCCAUAAAGCAUCGUUGGUCUCACAGCUAUCUUAAAAUAAAUUAUCUUUUAAUUUCAAAGAUAUCCGAUGAUCACACAAGACUCCUAACGUCCCUUGCCAUUUGACCACCCUGUUUUUAUUAUAUGAAUAAUAUCUUUAUCGAUCUCUUCAUCUUAUUCAAUAAAUAAUCUAAAAUACCUAAAGCUUGUACUUAAAGGGACUUUUUGUCCAUCCAACUUAAUUAUAUUUUCUUAUCUAUUCUUAGAAUCACUAAAACUGCUUUUUAUAUAUUCAGUUUUAGUCCUACUUAAUCUAAAACCUUUAGUUUCUAAGGCUUAUUUUCAUAGCUCAGGUUUAUAAUUAAUUUUACUUAGGUUCUCAUCAACUAAGACAAUAUCAUAAUAAAAUAAUAUACACUAGGGAGGUUUCUAUCGUGUAAAUGACUAGUAAUUUCAUCCUCUAUCAAUGUGAAAAGGUAAGAAAUUAAUGUGGAUCAUUGAUAUAAUCCUAUGCUAAUAGGAAACUCACUAAACAUACUCCCUAUAAUUCUAACACUAGUAGUUAUAUUUUCUUAGGGUAAUAUAAGCUGAAAAUUUUCUUUCCGAACAAAACAAUAUGGCAAAUGCAAUUAGCAAAUUAGAUCAUUAGAAAGCUAGAAGUUGCAGACUCAAAGGUGUCAUCAGCAGAGAACAAUCUUUCAUUGCAUGUUGACUAUGCUCACAAGCUGAGAUUCAGAAACAUUUUCUCAAGAUUAAAAAUCUGAUCAUCUAAGAAUCCUUCUCCGACGCAAUUAAGAAAAAAAGAUUUAGACAAAUUCAACUAUAUAAAUUAUCUCCCCAUUGGUUUAAUAACAAAAAAAGACAUCUUAUAUUCUACCAACAAAAAGAAAGAAAAUUUGCUAUAAGAACAAAACGCCUCACCUUGUUGAUAUCCAGAUCGGGCGACCAGGAACGGAGAAGUUUCAAGAAGUACUCAAACAUCUCCACCGACGACUUAAAUCCCUUCGGCCCGACAUUCGCUGCCUCCGAUUCCCUCCCGUCCCCACACCCGCCCACCUCCAGAUCGCCUCCACCUUCCCUCUUUCCGUCAACUCCAUCCGUCUUUUCUUCUUCCCAAUACCCCUCCACCUUCUGUCUCUUCAAACCACAGUCCUCCUCGUCGCCCUCUUCUCGUCCCCUUUUCUCAGUGCCGCUUCCGCUCUCGGACGGAACCUCCUCGGCCACAAGCCCGCCUCCCUCGGGGACCUGGGGCUUCUCUGCGUGCUCGUCCCCCAUGAUCGAAGAGAAGAGCUCCGCGAUCGGCGGAGGCUCCAGCUCGUAGGUUCAAUUGAUCAAACACUAACCCUAACCGGGUUUCAGGGGGCGGCCGUCCGGCCGGCCGGUACUACAAUAUAACAUACGACUUGUCACGUGAGGAGGAGGUGAUUAUCUAUUUAUUAUCCUUUUUUAAAGAAGAAAAAAAAAUACUAUAGUUAAUUAGUUAACUUGUUAAUUAAUGAACUAUAAUUUCUAUCAACAAAAUAAAAUGCAGUCAACAAAUAUUCCAUCAUGCUAAUAAUAAAUUUUGUUUCAUUUUAAUAAUAUGCUAUAAAGUGACUCUGCUAAAUAAGCUCAACAAUGUUGACUUAGUUUGAUUGCUUUGCCAAGUAUUAUUGACUUAAUUGUGGAUAAAUGUGAGACAUCCAACCAACCAUUGCCAUGUCAUGGAUAUUAUUUGUCAAUCAUUCAUGUGGUCACUCGUCCAGUCAACCAAAUACGGCAUCAAAAUCUGCCUCAUGAGAAGGCAGUAAAAGAUUCCUUGACUUUUGGGUCUACUUUAGACGAAGUCAACUUCCUUGUCUCUUCCCCUUCGUUAGUAUGUAUGCCAAAUAGUGAUCCAAUUAGCACAUCCUGCGUUUGGUCAACUUGGCAAAGUCAACCAUAAGAACAUCAAUUUGCAUUAAUGAGGUGUGCAGAAAAACUGCUCCAAGAGAAUAGCUGCUGUCUUCGUCGGUCUCAACCCUCCGCAAUUACUUCCGAAGACUGCAAUCCUAAUAACGAGAUACUGAUACAUUAAAAAUACUAAAUGAUAAUGGUCACUAACUUAGGAAAUUAUGUCAGAAAAUUCAUCCGACCUUAUGAUUCAGCAAAGUUAUUACAGAAGCUGCUUAAUUUGGAUGCUCAUAAAGCUGAAGAGACUAAGCUUAGCGGUUCCACACAUUCUCAUGGCGAUCGAUCAAGACCGGCGGUUCAGUGGUCGAGCUUCAAGACCACCGCCAGCCCUCCUCUCCAGCUUGUAAGGCAUGUGUGUUCCCAAGAUCAUGUCCCAUGUGAUGAAGAAUGGCUGCGAGAAGUUGUACUUGUUGCCGUAGAGCUGAUGAUGGACAUCAUGAUACGCGGUGUUGUUCCAGAAGAACAGGUGGAAGAUGUUCCCGGGAAGCCACAGCCCGCAGUGGUCAUCUAUCCCUUUGAUGGUGGCGAAGGAGAAGAAGAAGAUGGAGGUUCUGGGCGACAUGCCCGAGAGAAUGAAGGCGAGGCCGCCGCCGAAGGUGUCCAAGAGAAGCCCUUCUACCGGGUGGUUGUAUUGGCUGCCGAAGGAGUAUGGGACGACGAGGCGGUGGUGCCAUGAAUGGACGUGGCGGUACAAGAACUUGUUCAGGUGCAUGUAUCGGUGCCAGAAGUAUUGCCAUGUAUCGAGAACGAACAUGGCGACGACGAACUGCCUCACCAGCGAGAGAAACGAGGCCGAAUCGCUUGUGGCUGCUGCGCUGUGAUCAUCACCUGUGAUCUAUACAUGCACAAGAUGAACUCAUUGAGUGACGUUGAUAGAAAGAGAGAAAGAUCAUGGAGGCACGUUGGUGUUCGACCUUAAACACGAGGAAGGCAACAGCAGCUUGAACCAGCUGCUGGAGAAGAACUCCCUUCACCACCUGGAGCUUGGAGACCAAGUUCUUGACGUCCUCAUCUUUUCUCGAGUGCAACCGAUAGUUGUCGAGGGAGCCAAGCAUCAAGUACACGCCGGAGUAAACCCAGUAAACCAGAAUGGGCACUACAAUGGCUAAGAUCUCAUCGGAAGGCAGAGAAUACUCCAUUGCCACACAAAGCUCACGAUCCCUUGGUGGUGGUGGUGGUGGUGGUGGCUUUGCUUCUGUAGUUUAUAUAGAUCACGAAGAGCAAGUGUUUGCUCUCUCCAUCUUCUUCUGAGAGAGUCCUCCAUUAAAAGUCAGCUAAAUACAGCCGACUACCUUGAAAUUUAGACUUCCUAUAGCGUAGAACCAUUUGAAAUGAUCCAUAUAUGGCUUGGCAUUGAUGCAAUCUCGAAGGGUGCAAAGAGAAUCCAACAAGUUGGACUUGACCAAUGACCUGAGUAGAUUUGAGGUUAACAAAAGGAUUAAAUGUGUGCAAGAGAUUCAUAAUAAUUAAUUGCACGUAGUUGGCUAAUAAACAAAGAUUAGGGAACAUGCAGAAGGUAGCAGCUGCAUGCAUGGCUGUAAUAUGAACCCAAUAUAGGAAGUGAUCAAACUUAUGCACUCCAUUUUUGAACGUCAACAUGCAGUAAACUGCAAGUGGGGCUGUUUCCACAUGGUUGAAGAGUAGUAUUUUGCUUAGGUAGUCUGGAAACAGCGUACCAAGUGGUCAUAAAUAGGGGCAAUUUCCUUUGAUGUUUCAGAAGUUCUUGAGAAGACUUUGAUCCAAUAUUUCAUGAGGAGCAAACACUUGUUGACUGUUUUCCAGACACCUUAAAUUAGGUAUGUAAAAUCACAUUUUGAACAGCUUAUUGAUUUUAUAUCAAAAGUGAAAUAUAUAGUCAUUGGUCAUGUAUCCAUACAAUGUAUCUCUGUGUCAUGUAUCUAUAAGAAUAAUAUUCUUAUAAAUAUAAAAAAUCAUGUGACACCUCAGUUUGAGAUUUAAUAUUAGUAUUUUCGGUUAGUAAUUCAAAUGUAUAAGUUAAUGAAUCAGUUAUCACAUCGGAUCGAAUAUCGAUAAUAAAUGGUAUCAGAGCGUAUCGAUCAUUUGGCAUAGUAAAUUAAAGGUCAUAAGGUCGUUGAUCACAUAUCCAAAUAACCUCACAGCAUUAACAUUUCCAUGUCAGUUGCUAUAUGUUCAAAGUUGAGCUAAACAUGCUCAAAUACUAAAUCUUAGGAUGUUGCAGUCCCAGAAUGUGGAUUUUGGUCCAGGUGAUUAAGGCUUUUAUUAGAGUUCAUUCAGCAGUAAGUAAGUAUGAAUGUAUCCCUUAGAAUAAAGUGGAUUUCACUGAUCAGAAAACACUUGCUGAAGUUACUGGUGGCUUGGGCAGGAUUAAUUAUUACUGCAGUUGUGGGUUGUAUUUUUGAUCCAUUUUGGCUCUUUUGUUUGAUCUAUAUAAUUUAUGUGCAAGUUUUAUACAAUUUGUAGGACUUGUAGGUUUUUCGGUGUUCUGAAUUUUCUAUUAUGCUGAUCUAUUUUUAUUUCUGAGUAUGAUACAGAAAUAUAAUUCACAAACAUCUGAUUUCUGUAACCAAAACCAGAUCAAAUUUUUUGAGAAAAUUGUACCAUUGCUGGUGCAUCAACACAGGAAAAAAAAUGGAUAUCAGUGUAAAAGACUUGGAAAUAUGAUCAACUUAAUUAUUUUUGGAGAAUCAUUUCAUCCUUCAUAGAUAUCAUCAUUGGUUUCACUUAUGAAGAAGGAAAGGAAACUGUAGAUUACAGUGGAAUAGACUACAGUGGUGGUGAUGAUACUUGAUAGGUUGUGAUCUGUUGAGUCAUUAGGUUCCACAAAUGCAGAGCAGCAAAAGCAACAAAUUGGCUUGUCACUACUUAUGUAAGAACUUGCAGUAUGCCAUUUCACUGUGCUAAUAAUUGGACUUCCUCUGUUCAAAGAAAUUUCAACACAGGUAACAUGAAGUUGAGCCUCAUCUCUUGUCACUAGCAUGGAGGAGACAAGGAACAUGGCAUAUACCCCACAAACCAUAUCCACAUUAUUAUAUGAUGGUGGGGAAUCUCACUAUGAUGGCUAAUCUGAGAACCUUAAAUAUAAUCUUCUGAAACACUCAUGAAUGAAUUUGAUUUCUGACACUAUGAGAACAUACUAAUACUCUUGAACUUGUCCAUGAAGGUCCUCCUUACCAGUGAAGAUGUAAAGCUGUUGAUCCUGAUCUCUAUCCACUCUGUUUCCCAUUUCUAGAUAAGUGAGAGCACUUAAUCCAAUCCUAGGCUUGCAAGACCUUAUCCAAACAGUACAUAACAUUAGAUAGCUUUAGCCACAGAAACUUGCAGAUAAAGACUUAAAUGUCUACCAAAACUUCCACCUCCUGUAGAGACAUGAAUCUUAUCUUCAUAUACACAAAGGUAUAGAUUGCCCCACAAGAUAAAAUCUGAGUCUAGAUCACAUCUAAGGAAGUAAAGAACCAAAAGAUGAUGUGGGUGUCACUACAUUUCUGGUGCAACCAUACUAUCAUCAUUAUCUGCUACAAAGGUAGAUAAUACUUUUUCCUUUUCUUUUUGUGGGUCAUUGUAACAUAAUAGAAGGAAGGUCAAAAGGGCACUUGCAAUUGCAGCAGUUGCUUCACCCACUUUGCAUGACCCACCAAAGAAAAACCUUAAAAAAAUUGACAGAGGACUACUAUAAAUACCACAUCUUGUGACCCAAUCACACUGCACAAAGCUAUAAUUCAGAGUCUUCCACAGGAGCCUCAUAAACCUCUUGCUCUCGGAUAUCAUGUUGUCCAUUGGAGCCAGCUAUGCCCAGCUCCAUGUCCAACAAGAGCACUACAAGCAGAAGAUCAAGAGAAAGGAAGGGCAGCAGAAGCCCAAGGGACAGAAGAAGGGAACUGAAGGAAGAGUCCACCCUGAUGGCUCAUCACCAAGACAAGCCAAGGCUGAUCUCAACAAGUGUAACCCAUGAAAGAGAGGAAAGAUAAAGAGAGUCAUGUUUGAUGCACUUACUAUGUGUAGGUGUUGGUUGUAGAACUGCUGUUGUUUGCAAAUUAGUUGCUGGUUUAACAGGACUUAUUAUUUUGGCUUGUC
rnacentral:lncRNA from 1 species